CUGGAGAGCAGCCGGGGUCAGCACUGACCAGCCGGUUCACCGAAGGGGCAAGCGCACCCAUGCCGAAACAGGGGUUGCGCAAAAACUCUCAGGUAAAAGGACAGCGGGAG
rnacentral:ncRNA from 1 species